UUUGUUUUUUAAUUAAAAACUAGAAUGAAAGGUUAAACAUUUAAAUUUUUUUAUUUAUAUUAUUACAUAAAAUUAUAUUAAAUAUAAAAAUAUAUUUAUAGAAUAAAAAGACGACAAGACCCUAUUGAACUUUACUUAUGUUAAACUGGGGUAGUUUUAUAAAUAAAAUUUUAUUUUAUUUUUAAUAAAUGAUCCAAUAAAAUUGAUUUUAUAAACAAGUUACCAUAGGGAUAACAGCGUAAUAAAUAUUAAAAGCUCUUAUUUAAAUAUUUGAUUGCGACCUCGAUGUUGAAUUAUAUUUUCUUAUUUUAGUGCAAAAACAUAUAAAGUAGGUCUGUUCGACCUUUAAAAUAUUACAUGAUCUGAGUUCAAACCGGAGA
rnacentral:ncRNA from 2 species